AUUGAACGCUGGCGGCAGGCCUAACACAUGCAAGUCGAACGAGUGGCGGACGGGUGAGUAAUGUCUGGGAAACUGCCUGAUGGAGGGGGAUAACUACUGGAAACGGUAGCUAAUACCGCAUACCAUCGGAUGUGCCCAGAUGGGAUUAGCUAGUAGGUGGGGUAAAGGCUCACCUAGGCGCCGAUCCCUAACUGGUCUGAGAGGAUGACAAGCCACACUAGAACGUAGACACGGUCCAGACGCCGACGUGAGGAAGCAGUGGGGAAUAUUGCACAAUGGGCGCAAGCAUGCUGCAGCCAUGCCGCGUGUAUGAAGAAGGCCUUCGGGUUGUAAAGUACUUUCAGCGGGGAGGCGUUACCCGCAGAAGAAGCACCGGCUAACUCCGUGCCAGCAGCCGCGGUAAUUC
rnacentral:rRNA from 1 species